rnacentral:lncRNA from 1 species
GAGCCUGUACGCCGUUUAACAACCUCAAUAUCGUUAUUUAUUAUUGCACCAACUCUUUCACUUACAUUAGCUCUAAGUCUAUAAAUUCCACUACCAAUACCCCCACCCUCUAAUUAAUUUAAAUUUAGGAAUUUUAUUUAUCUUAGCAAUAUCAAGGCAUCAGCAUAUUCCAUCUUAUGAUCAGGAUGAGCCUCCAACUCAAAAUAUUCACUGUUUGGUGCACUACAAGCCCAAACAACUUCCUACGAAGUAACAAUAGCUAUUAUUUUAUUGUCAGUCCUGUUAAUAAGUGGCUCAUUUUCUCUACAAAUACAUAUUGUCACUCAAAGACACACCUGGCUUAUUAUUUCAGCCCAACCUAUAGCUAUAAUAUGAUUUAUUUCAACCUUAGCAGAAACAAACCGAGCC